rnacentral:lncRNA from 1 species
CUUAAACCUGCCACAGCCAUGUUGUGAUUAUGAAGGGAGCCAACCUGAGGACAAAUCACAUUUUCUGAGGAUGGCAGAGCAAACAGAUGCAAAGAUCCUGGGUCUCUGAUGGCAUUGUUGAGUUGCUGGACAGCUUCCCUACUUUUCACGUUCCUAUGACACAAUGUUAUCAUCAUCCUUGUUGUAUCAGCCAGGGAAGCUAAAGAAUGAUGCGCUCCACCACAAUGAGGGACUAAACAACAAAAAGGAGGCAUGAGAUUCAGGAAGCAAAAAAGUUUUCCCAUCAUUCCUCUGGAGACAGAAGACCUUGCCAAGUGGUCCA